rnacentral:misc_RNA from 1 species
CCAUGUAUAAUUUCACUUUGUCGUAUAUUAAUCCCAGGAUAGAAGUAGACUUGUAAGAAAUCUCUUCUUUCCUUUCCAAAUGAUGUGGGAAUAAUUCAGCCUUCAAUUGUUCUGGAAGUUCAAUCUGUUUAAAGAAGAAGAAAUGUCUAGUUCAUUUCAAAGUAGGAGCAGUCACGUCAAAUCACUCUGAAAUCGAAUAUUGCGAGCAGCAAAUUUAUUUCUUAAAUCACAAGGAACAAACUUAGACUUCUUCCACACCAAUACAAAUAACUUCAAAAAGUUCAGUUGUUUCAAAUUUCAAUAUAAAUUGAGAUUUAGUUCUACUAUUCUUUCAUCAGGUUAUACAUUAAAUAACUUAUGACUUCUUCCACACCAAUGCAUUUUGUAAUCAUAUUUUAUGCUUUCAAUUUUAUCAAUAUAGUUCAUAAGUUAGUUUAUUUCAAUCGUAUUCAAUAGGUUUAAGGUGUAUGCAAAAAUGAACAACUUUCGUUGGUUCCUCCCAAGCCUUAAGAGCCACAAAACAAUGGUGUUUUGCAAAUAAAACAUUUUAAGUCACUUCAUAGGGAGGAAAUUUGUGCAAAAUGACAACAUAUGAUGACUCCAAGGAUUUAGGAGGGGCUUGCUUCUUUCCAAUGUUAGCAUAAGCACAUGCCCCAAACAUGACGGAUACAAUUGAAACAAAAUCAAUAACUUAUGAAACAAUAAGAUAAAAUUAAAAGCAUAGGAUACAAUACAAAUGAAAAGGCAUGUAAUGUUCACAACACAUUAGAUCAUUAACCCUAAUAUUAAUGCUGUUACAAUUUAUCCAUUUACCAUAUCAUGUUCUAAAGGUCUAGAAUCAACAGACCUAAAAAGAACCAAAUAGCAGGACAAUGCAGAGAGGCUUAGAUGCCCUAAAAAGGUGCAGAACUUCAGAUCCCAAGUGCAGGCAAAAGCUUAAUAUCUUGAGGUCUCAAAUGGACUUACACUCCAGGAGUUCCAGAAGUAUGGAAAUGCAUUUAAGAAGUCAUAAACCAUGCAUCUUGCGAAUUUCGUGCAGGUGAAAAACAAUCAAAACAAGUGGCAUUUAAGAUAUAAUUUUUUGUGCUUAUCCAAUUAUAAGUCUAACUCCACCUAAGUAGUUUGCGC